rnacentral:rRNA from 1 species
AUUGAACGCUGGCGGCAUGCCUUACACAUGCAAGUCGCACGGCAGCACGGGAGCAAUCCUGGUGGCGAGUGGCGAACGGGUGAGUAAAGUAUCGGAACGUGCCCAGUCGUGGGGGAUAACGUAGCGAAAGUUACGCUAAUACCGCAUACGAUCUAUGGAUGAAAGCGGGGGAUCGCAAGACCUCGCGCGAUUGGAACGGCCGAUAUCAGAUUAGGUCGUUGGUGGGGUAAAGGCUCACCAAGCCGACGAUCUGUAGCUGGUCUGAGAGGACGACCAGCCACACUGGGACUGAGACACGGCCCAGACUCCUACGGGAGGCAGCAGUGGGGAAUUUUGGACAAUGGGCGAAAGCCUGAUGCAGCCAUGCCGCGUGCAGGAUGAAGGCCUUCGGGUUGUAAACUGCUUUUGUACGGAACGAAAAGGUUUGGCCUAAUAAGCUGAGCUCAUGACGGUACCGUAAGAAUAAGCACCGGCUAACUACGUGCCAGCAGCCGCCGUAA